UACAGAGGUCUCAAGCGAUUGUUCGGAUUCAUUGGGCGUAAAGGGUGUGUAGAUGGCGCCGUAAGUCGGGUGUGAAAUUUCGGAGCUUAACUCCGAAACUGCAUUCGAUACGUGACGGUGCUUGAGGGACUGGAGAGGAGACUGGAAUUCAUGGUGUAGCAGUGAAAUGCGCAGAUAUCAGGAGGAACACCGGUGGCGGAAGGCGGUUCUCUGGGCCUGUACUGACGCUGGAGGAACGAAAGCCGUGGGGAGCGAACAGGA
rnacentral:rRNA from 1 species